CCCGUCACAUCACGAAAGUGGGUUGUACCAGAAGUCUGCGCGCUGACCCGCAAGGGAGGCAGCGGCCCAAGGUAUGACUCAUGAUUGGGGUG
rnacentral:rRNA from 1 species